rnacentral:lncRNA from 1 species
GGCCCAGUAGUUUCAGAGGAGAAGAAUUUUGUAAAAAAUUACUAAGAUUUACGAACUAGAGGCUCUAAAGAGCCUGUGUCGCUCACCUUGGUAUAUGUGAAUAUUAAACAAAGGAAGCAGAUGGAUUCAUGACAAAAUUGUGUUUAGGUGAUGGUGAUGUGUUUGUACAUCUUACUUUACUGAACAUUCUUGCUCCUUACAAUUAUCUCUAUCUAUAAUGAUCUUGGCCCAGUAGUUUCAGUGGAAAAUGUUAGUAAAAAUUUACAAAUUUUAUGAAAAUUGUUAAAAAUUGACUAUCAAGGACAAUAACUCCUUAGGGGGUCAACUGACCAUUUUUGUCAUGUUUGACUUAUCUUUAGGUCUUACUUUGCUGUACAUUAUUGCUGUUUACAGUUUAUCUCUAUCUAUAAUAAUAUUCAAGAUAAUAACCAAAAACAGCAAAAUUUUCUUAAAAUUACCAAUUAUGGGGCAGCAACCCAACAACCGGUUGUCGGAUCCAUCUGAAAAUUUCAGGGCAGAUAGAUCUUGACAUGAUAAACAAUUUCACUCCGUCAGAUUUGCUCUAAAUGCUUUGAUUUUUGAGUUAUAAGCCAAAAACUGCAUUUUACCCCUAUGUCCUAUAUUUAGCCGUGGCAGCCAUCUUGGUUGGAUGGCCGGGUCACCAGACACAUUUUUUAAACUACAUACCCCAAAGAUGACUGUGGCCAAGUUUGGAUUAAUUUAGCCCAGUAGUUUUAGAGGAGAAGAUUUUUGUAAAAGAUCACUAAGAUUUACGAAAUGGUUAAAAAUUGACUAUAAAGGGCAAUAACUCCUUAAGGGGUCAACUGACCAUUUCGGUCAUGUUGACUUAUUUGUAAAUCUUACUUUGCUGAACAUUAUUGCAGUUUACAGUUUAUCUCUAUCUAUAAUAAUAUUCAAGAUAAUAACCAAAAACAGCAAAAUUUCCAUAAAAUUACCAAUUCAGGGGCAGCAACCUAUCAACGGGUUGUCCGAUUCAUCUGAAAAUUUCUGGGCAGAUAGAUCUUGACCUGAUAAACAAUUUUACCCCAUGUCAGAUUUGCUCUAAAUGCUUUGAUUUUUGAGUUAUAAGCCAAAAACUGCAUUUUACCCCUAUGUCCUAUAUUUAGCCGUGGCAGCCAUCUUGGUUGGAUGGUCGGGUCACCGGACACAUUUUUUAAACUACAUACCCCAAAGAUGAUUGUGGCCAAGUUUGGAUUAAUUUAGCCCAGUAGUUUCAGAGGAGAAGAUUUUUGUAAAAGAUUACUAAGAUUUACGAAAAAUGGUUAAAAAUAUUGACUAUAAAGGGCAAUAACUCCUUAAGGGGUCAACUGACCAUUUCGGUCAUGUUGACUUAUUUGUAAAUCUUACUUUGCUGAACAUUAUUGCUGUUUACAGUUUAUCUCUAUCUAUAAUAAUAUUCAAGAUAAUAACCAAAAAACAGCAAAAUUUCCAUAAAAUUACCAAUUCAGGGGCAGCAACCCAUCAACUGGUUGUCCGAUUCAUCUGAAAAUUUCUGGGCAGAUAGAUCUUGACCUGAUAAACAAUUUUACCCCAUGUCAGAUUUGCUCUAAAUGCUUUGGUUUUUGAGUUAUAAGCCAAAAACUGCAUUUUACCCCUAUGUUCUAUUUUUAGCCGUGGCAGCCAUCUUGGUUGGAUGGCCGGGUCACCGGACACAUUUUUUAAACUACAUACCCCAAAGAUGAUUGUGGCCAAGUUUGGAUUAAUUUAGCCCAGUAGUUUCAGAGGAGAAGAUUUUUGUAAAAGAUCACUAAGAUUUACGAAAAAUGGUUAAAAUUGACUAUAAAGGGCAAUAACUCCUUAAGGGGUCAACUGACCAUUUCGGUCAUGUUGACUUAUUUGUAGAUCUUACUUUGCUGAACAUUAUUGCUGUUUACAGUUUAUCUCUAUCUAUAAUAAUAUUCAAGAUAAUAACCAAAAACAGCAAAAUUUCCAUAAAAUUACCAAUUCAGGGGCAGCAACCCAUCAACGGGUUGUCCGAUUCAUCUGAAAAUUUCUGGGCAGAUAGAUCUUGACCUGAUAAACAAUUUUACCCCCAUGUCAGAUUUGCUCUAAAUGCUUUGAUUUUUGAGUUAUAAGCCAAAAACUGCAUUUUACCCCUAUGUCCUAUAUUUAGCCGUGGCAGCCAUCUUGGUUGGAUGGCCGGGUCACCGGACACAUUUUUUAAACUACAUACCCCAAAGAUGAUUGUGGCCAAGUUUGGAUUAAUUUAGCCCAGUAGUUUCAGAGGAGAAGAUUUUUGUAAAAGAUUACUAAGAUUUACGAAAAAAUGGUUAAAAAUUGACUAUAAAGGGCAAUAACUCCUUAAGGGGUCAACUGACCAUUUCGGUCAUGUUGACUUAUUUGUAAAUCUUACUUUGCUGAACAUUAUUGCUGUUUACAGUUUAUCUCUAUCUAUAAUAAUAUUCAAGAUAAUAACCAAAAACAGCAAAAAUUUCCAUAAAAUUACCAAUUCAGGGGCAGCAACCCAUCAACUGGUUGUCCGAUUCAUCUGAAAAUUUCUGGGCAGAUAGAUCUUGACCUGAUAAACAAUUUUACCCCAUGUCAGAUUUGCUCUAAAUGCUUUGGUUUUUGAGUUAUAAGCCAAAAACUGCAUUUUUACCCCUAUGUUCUAUUUUUAGCCAUGGCGGCCAUCUUGGUUGGUUGGCGGGGUCACCGGACACAUUUUUUAAACUAGAUACCCCAAUGAUGAUUGUGGCCAAGUUUGAUUAAAUUUGGCUUAGUAGUUUCAGAGGAGAAGAUUUUUGUAAAAGUUAACGACGACGGACGCAGGACGACGACGGACGACGGACGCAGGACGACGGACGCCGGACGCAAAGUGAUGGGAAAAGCUCACUUGGCCCUUCGGGCCAGGUGAGCUAAAAAUGGUUAAAAAUUGACUAUAAAGGGCUAUAACUCCUUAAGGGGUCAACUGAC